GACACUUUUUUUCUCUCUUCUCAUACUAUUGAUACAUAUUAGCAAAUUUAAUAUACAUAAUACUUCUAUAACACUCUCACUGAGAUUGUUCUCACUGUCUAGUCCUCCCGCCGCCUGCCGUUCACCAGCUAGGGCCUUGCCGAAACUCGAAUGGGCCACGAGCUGCAGGAAGACACCGCUGCCGUCCCUCGAUGAAGGAACAGGCAGCCCUCCUCUAGGCGGGCGGACAGCUUGACCAGAUCUUUCGUACGCCGGCGCCAGCGACGCUCCUCGAGCAUCAACUCGGUGCUGGGACUGGGAGGCGGCCUUGCCUGUCACCUCUGCGCGGAAACGCAACGCUUGGUUUGUUGACGUAAUGCACCCGUCGCCGUGUUCUCAUUUUCUCACGCCGCUUGUCACACGUCUGGGCCCGAAGCUUACAAAUCUGUCGCCCGAAAACAUGUUAUCUUUGUCUGACUAGGAUAAUCUGGCUGUCCACAACUCCCUACCUUUCCUGUCAGAACGAACUCCCAGCCAUGCCCAUUACUUAAACACUUCUGUUUCUGUCGACUCGCGGGCAAGCAGGUGCGGAUAAGGGGAUAAGCGUACUCGAUUAGCCGCACUAGCCCCGGCCUUCAACUUUAACUAACCUAACCUGUCAUAGACUAUAGUUUGUCUCCUCAAGCAGAUAAGCUCAUGCCGCAUGCCAGGCCACGAAUGGAUACGGGGGGAUCGGCGACGGCGAGGCUGAUGGAUGGCAGAUUCGUAUCGCUCGGUGAUCUUGGUGCUUUUCCAUGGGAUUCGGCGGGCGUAUUCCGCAAUGCUUUUCGGCGGAAACGUUGGGAUUCUUUGCCGUAUGGUACUGGCAAAGCUGAGCCCAACAAACUGAAUGGCUAGCUACCAGCUGUCCAAGGCAUUUCAGAUAAGAGCUUCGUUCCUGCUGUGGUUCCUCAUGUUGGGGGGACAGCAUUUCGCUAUCGGGAGCUGCCAAGAUAAGGCGCAUGAAUGGACAGUGCGAGUCCAUCCUGGUGAAAAAAAAGGUGUGGCCAAAAGCGAAGAUUGGACCCAACUCCAACAAAUUUAUUUUCCCUUCUCCUCUUUCUCAUCUUAUAGGGGAAUCCCCCAUCACAAUUUUAGUUUAUUGGAAAAAUAUGCUCCAGCAGAUUGAUUUUUCCC